rnacentral:rRNA from 1 species
GGUUAAGCGACUAAGCGUACACGGUGGAUGCCCCGGCAGUCAGAGGCGAUGAAGGACGUGCUAAUCUGCGAUAAGCGUCGGUAAGGUGAUAUGAACCGUUAUAACCGGCGAUUUCCGAAUGGGGAAACCCAGUGUGUUUCGACACACUAUCAUUAACUGAAUCCAUAGGUUAAUGAGGCGAACCGGGGGAACUGAAACAUCUAAGUACCCCGAGGAAAAGAAAUCAACCGAGAUUCCCCCAGUAGCGGCGAGCGAACGGGGAGCAGCCCAGAGCCUGAAUCAGUGUGUGUGUUAGUGGAAGCGUCUGGAAAGGCGCGCGAUACAGGGUGACAGCCCCGUACACAAAAAUGCACAUGCUGUGAGCUCGAUGAGUAGGGCGGGACACGUGGUAUCCUGUCUGAAUAUGGGGGGACCAUCCUCCAAGGCUAAAUACUCCUGACUGACCGAUAGUGAACCAGUACCGUGAGGGAAAGGCGAAAAGAACCCCGGCGAGGGGAGUGAAAAAGAACCUGAAACCGUGUACGUACAAGCAGUGGGAGCACGCUUAGGCGUGUGACUGCGUACCUUUUGUAUAAUGGGUCAGCGACUUAUAUUCUGUAGCAAGGUUAACCGAAUAGGGGAGCCGAAGGGAAACCGAGUCUUAACUGGGCGUUAAGUUGCAGGGUAUAGACCCGAAACCCGGUGAUCUAGCCAUGGGCAGGUUGAAGGUUGGGUAACACUAACUGGAGGACCGAACCGACUAAUGUUGAAAAAUUAGCGGAUGACUUGUGGCUGGGGGUGAAAGGCCAAUCAAACCGGGAGAUAGCUGGUUCUCCCCGAAAGCUAUUUAGGUAGCGCCUCGUGAAUUCAUCUCCGGGGGUAGAGCACUGUUUCGGCAAGGGGGUCAUCCCGACUUACCAACCCGAUGCAAACUGCGAAUACCGGAGAAUGUUAUCACGGGAGACACACGGCGGGUGCUAACGUCCGUCGUGAAGAGGGAAACAACCCAGACCGCCAGCUAAGGUCCCAAAGUCAUGGUUAAGUGGGAAACGAUGUGGGAAGGCCCAGACAGCCGGGAUGUUGGCUUAGAAGCAGCCAUCAUUUAAAGAAAGCGUAAUAGCUCACUGGUCGAGUCGGCCUGCGCGGAAGAUGUAACGGGGCUAAACCAUGCACCGAAGCUGCGGCAGCGACACUAUGUGUUGUUGGGUAGGGGAGCGUUCUGUAAGCCUGUGAAGGUGUGCUGUGAGGCAUGCUGGAGGUAUCAGAAGUGCGAAUGCUGACAUAAGUAACGAUAAAGCGGGUGAAAAGCCCGCUCGCCGGAAGACCAAGGGUUCCUGUCCAACGUUAAUCGGGGCAGGGUGAGUCGACCCCUAAGGCGAGGCCGAAAGGCGUAGUCGAUGGGAAACAGGUUAAUAUUCCUGUACUUGGUGUUACUGCGAAGGGGGGACGGAGAAGGCUAUGUUGGCCGGGCGACGGUUGUCCCGGUUUAAGCGUGUAGGCUGGUUUUCCGGGCAAAUCCGGAAAAUCAAGGCUGAGGCGUGAUGACGAGGCACUACGGUGCUGAAGCAACAAAUGCCCUGCUUCCGGGAAAAGCCUCUAAGCAUCAGGUAACAUCAAAUCGUACCCCAAACCGACACAGGUGGUCAGGUAGAGAAUACCAAGGCGCUUGAGAGAACUCGGGUGAAGGAACUAGGCAAAAUGGUGCCGUAACUUCGGGAGAAGGCACGCUGAUAUGUAGGUGAAGUCCCUUGCGGAUGGAGCUGAAAUCAGUCGAAGAUACCAGCUGGCUGCAACUGUUUAUUAAAAACACAGCACUGUGCAAACACGAAAGUGGACGUAUACGGUGUGACGCCUGCCCGGUGCCGGAAGGUUAAUUGAUGGGGUCAGCGCAAGCGAAGCUCUUGAUCGAAGCCCCGGUAAACGGCGGCCGUAACUAUAACGGUCCUAAGGUAGCGAAAUUCCUUGUCGGGUAAGUUCCGACCUGCACGAAUGGCGUAAUGAUGGCCGGGCUGUCUCCACCCGAGACUCAGUGAAAUUGAACUCGCUGUGAAGAUGCAGUGUACCCGCGGCAAGACGGAAAGACCCCGUGAACCUUUACUAUAGCUUGACACUGAACAUUGAGCCUUGAUGUGUAGGAUAGGUGGGAGGCUUGGAAGUGUGGACGCCAGUCUGCAUGGAGCCGACCUUGAAAUACCACCCUUUAAUGUUUGAUGUUCUAACGUUGACCCGUAAUCCGGGUUGCGGACAGUGUCUGGUGGGUAGUUUGACUGGGGCGGUCUCCUCCUAAAGAGUAACGGAGGAGCACGAAGGUUGGCUAAUCCUGGUCGGACAUCAGGAGGUUAGUGCAAUGGCAUAAGCCAGCUUGACUGCGAGCGUGACGGCGCGAGCAGGUGCGAAAGCAGGUCAUAGUGAUCCGGUGGUUCUGAAUGGAAGGGCCAUCGCUCAACGGAUAAAAGGUACUCCGGGGAUAACAGGCUGAUACCGCCCAAGAGUUCAUAUCGACGGCGGUGUUUGGCACCUCGAUGUCGGCUCAUCACAUCCUGGGGCUGAAGUAGGUCCCAAGGGUAUGGCUGUUCGCCAUUUAAAGUGGUACGCGAGCUGGGUUUAGAACGUCGUGAGACAGUUCGGUCCCUAUCUGCCGUGGGCGCUGGAGAACUGAGGGGGGCUGCUCCUAGUACGAGAGGACCGGAGUGGACGCAUCACUGGUGUUCGGGUUGUCAUGCCAAUGGCACUGCCCGGUAGCUAAAUGCGGAAGAGAUAAGUGCUGAAAGCAUCUAAGCACGAAACUUGCCCCGAGAUGAGUUCUCCCUGACCCUUUAAGGGUCCUGAAGGAACGUUGAAGACGACGACGUUGAUAGGCCGGGUGUGUAAGCGCAGCGAUGCGUUGAGCUAACCGGUACUAAUGAACCGUGAGGCUUAACCUU